GACUAACGCUGGCGGCAUGCCUCACACAUGCAAGUCGAGCGGUAAGCAGUAGCAAUACUGCCUAGAGCGGCGGACGGGUGAGUAAUAUAUGAACAAUCUGCCCUAUACUACGGGAUAACAUACAGAAAUGGAUGCUAAUACCGUAUAUGACCACACCAAGGCAUCUUUGGAGGGGUGAAAGAAAUUCGGUAUAGGAUGAGUUCAUAUCCCAUUAGCUAGUUGGCAGGAUAACAGCCUACCAAGGCAACGAUGGGUAGCCGACCUGAGAGGGUGUACGGCCACACUGGAAUUGAGAAACGGUCCAGACUCCUACGGGAGGCAGCAGUGGGGAAUAUUGGGCAAUGGAGGAAACUCUUACCCAGCGAUGCCGCGUGAAGGAAGAAGGUUUUCGGAUUGUAAACUUCUGUUAUAGGUGACGAAGAAUGACGGUAGCCUAUAAGGAAG
rnacentral:rRNA from 1 species